rnacentral:rRNA from 1 species
GACGAACGCUGGCGGCGUGCUUAACACAUGCAAGUCGAACGGGCUUCUGGGGUUCUUGCUUUGUUGGUGGGGGUGCUGGGGGUUAGUGGCGAACGAGUGAGUAACACGUGAGUAACUUGCCCUUCACUUCUGGAUAACCGCUUGAAAGGGUGGCUAAUACGGGAUGUUUCUGGCUCUGUCGCAUGGCGGGUUCGGUAAAGAUGGCUCUGUUUGGUGUUUUUGUUGGGGGAUGGGCUCGCGGCAUUUCAGCUUGUUGGUGGGGUGAGGGCCUGCCAAGGCCUAGACGGGUCGCCGGCGUGAGAGGGUGGGCGGACACAGUGGGAGUGAGAUACGGCCCAGACUGCUGCGAGGGGCAGGAGUGGAGAAUAUUGCAAAAUGGGCGGGAGCCUGAUGGAGCGACGUCGCGUGAGGGGUGGAGGCCUUCGGGUUGUGAACCUCUUUCGCCGGUGAGAAAGGAGUUGCCCGUGUGGUGGGGUUGACGGUGGCAGGGUUAAAUGAAGCGCCGGCUAACUACGUG